UACGAAGGUGGCAAGCGUUGUUCGGAUUUACUGGGCGUACAGGGAGCGUAGGCGGUUGGAUAAGCCCUCCGUGAAAUCUCCAGGCUUAACCUGGAAAGUGCAGAGGGGACUGUUCAGCUAGAGGAUGGGAGAGGAGCGCGGAAUUCCCGGUGUAGCGGUGAAAUGCGUAGAGAUCCGGAGGAACACCAGUGGCGAAGGCGACACGCUGGGCCGUACCUGACGCUAAAGCGCGACAGCAUGGGGAGCGAACGGG
rnacentral:rRNA from 1 species